GGAUAAAAGUCGUAACAAGGUUUCCGUAGGUGAACCUGCGGAAGGAUCAUUAUUGUAUAACCGAGGUGCGAGGGCUGUCGCUGACCCGAAAGGUCGUGCACGCCCGAGUGCCCUCACACACAUCCAUCUCACCCCUAUGUGCACCACCGCGUGGGUCCCCCUUUGGCUUGUUCGGAGGGGGGCUUACGUUUUCACACAAACUUUGUAUGCAGUGUAGAAUGUAUUUUUUGUUUUUGCGAUCACGCAAUCAAUACAACUUUCAACAACGGAUCUCUUGGCUCUC
rnacentral:misc_RNA from 1 species